AAACAAGAGAUGACAGUGAAAUCUUGUAAUCAUCUGUGAUCUUAUCUUGUUCUUCCCAUUGCUUGCGUUUCAUUUGUUUUUGGAUUUCCUUAUACAAAUUUGUU
rnacentral:ribozyme from 13 species